GUGGGGAAUUUUGCGCAAUGGGGGAAACCCUGACGCAGCGACGCCGCGUGAAGGAUGAAGGUCUUCGGAUUGUAAACUUCUUUUGUCGGGGAAGAUAAUGACGGUACCCGAUGAAUAAGCCACGGCUAACUCUGUGCCAGCAGCCGCGGUAAGACAGAGGUGGCAAGCGUUGUUCGGAAUUACUGGGCUUAAAGGGCGCGUAGGCGGUGGAGUAAGUCUGAGGUGGAAGAUCAGGGCCUAACCCUGAAAUUGCCUUGGAAACUGCAUCACUUGAGUCAGCGAGGGGAUGGCGGAAUUCCAGGUGUAGCGGUGAAAUGCGUAGAUAUCUGGAGGAAGGCCGGUGGCGAAGGCGGCCAUCUGGCGCUGAACUGACGCUGAGGCGCGAAAGCGUGGGGAGCAAACAGGAUUAGAAACCCUAGUAGUCC
rnacentral:rRNA from 1 species